UUUAUUCAGACCCUAGGAGGAGGUCCAUCAGGACCUGGGUACUCGUCAUCCUGCGAUUCAAUUAGCUUGUUCAGCACUGCUUUCCCUGUGAUUGUAAUUUCACUGAAUUCCUCUCUCCAGUUAUUAUAGAAUGUUUUUGUAUCCUCACUAGUGAAGAAAGCAAAAUAUUUAUCAUUUAAUCUGCUGUUUCCAUGUUAUGUAUUACUGACAUCCCAUUCUCUCUCUCUGGAGGACCAAAGUUCUCUUGACUUACUCUUUUCCUUGUCAGAUACCAGUAGAAAUUUUGGUUAUCUGUUUUUACAUUUUCUAAUUAGUUUCCUCUCAUUUUAUAAUUUCUUUUUCCCGAUCAUUCUCUGCUGUUUCCCAUGCUAGAUGUCAUGUGCUGACUAAUUGUCUGAUCUGUCCCUCAUAUUUGUGUAAUUAUGUGCUUUUCCUUUAGUUUGAUGUUUUCAUUGACAGCUUUAAUUACUUAUGGAUGAUGAGCCCUCCCCUUAGAGUUUUUCUUUAUGGUAAGAAGAAUAGACUUCGUCCUGGUUUCCAGAAAUAUCACCUUAAAUGUCUGUCACUGCUUUUCAAUUGACCUAUCUCUCCUAACUUGGUAUCCCAGUGUGCUCUUACUAGCUCAGGUUUCACACCCACAGAAUUUCACUUACUUCAGAUUAUAAUUCUAGUCUUGGACCUGCUGUUCUCCCUUCCAAACUAAGUGUAAAAUUCAAUUAUGUUAUGAUCACUGCUGCCUAAGGCUGUCUACUCUGACAUCAUUACUCCUGUCACAUUACACAAUUAUUGUUUCAGAAAUGCUGCCUUAAGAAAUUAUCUUGGAAAUAUUCUGUGAACUCCCCAUGCAGGCAACCAUUCCCAAUUUUUCCAGUUUGUGUAGAUUAAAAUUGCUUAUGAUUAUUGUGUCUCUUUUUUACACAAGUACUCAAUAUUUCUUGUAGUAUACUUUAUCCCACAAGUUGCUACUGUUGAUGACUCCUACUAAUGACAAGUUUACCCAACUAAUUCUCACGUCCACCCAAACUAAUUCUACAUUCUGAUCUAUUCAACUAAGGUGGUCUGUAACCAUUGCACCAAUGGCAUCCUUGAUUAUCAAUGCUAUCCUUCCACCUUUACUGAGCUUCCUAUUUUUCUUCCAUGUCGUGUACCCCAUAAUAUUCAGGACCCAAUCUUUGCCACUUUGCAGCCCAGCAAUGUCUCUGUAAUGGAUGUCAAAUCAAAUUUAUUUACUUCAAUGUGCACUAUCGAUUCAUUUAAUUUCUGGAUACUAUAUGCCUUAAGAUACAGAGCCUUUAACCUUGUCUUCUUGUUGUCUUUGUAACAUCUAGCCUUGACUGCUGGUGUAUUCUAUCAAUAAUAGAGAUUGUUACCGUUGACGUUCUCGUCUUCAAAUUGGUGCCUGGCUCCUCAUAUUACCUGAGUAGAACUUCUUUCCAAGCCCCGUGUUGUUGGUACUUGCAUAACCCAUGACAACUGGAUCCACUCUUUGUUUUUAAUAACUGCUUUAAGUAUCAAUAUUAACAUUUUUGUGCUUCCUAUUUAUUGAUCUUCCCUAACUCAGGUGUCCUUAAGCAGGCUAUUUGCACAAUCCCUUUAUAUGAAGCACUUAACAGCCGAUCAGCUAACAAGACUCCUAUAAAGACAACCUUUAUUUUUACUAUAUUUUUUAAAUUAAACAUUUUGUGCCAUCUCCUAGCAGCUGAAUUGGUGCAAUCCAAAUUGAUAAGGAAAAUCAAAGUUACAGUUUCUUCCCUUACUUCACUGAAUUCCCCAUACUAACCAAACUCCUAAGCUUUGAGAUGAGAUCACCUGUCAUGCUCUGUCAAAGGCUGUAGAGGGGGCAACAAGGGUGAGGAGUAAUCGUGUUCUUUUGCUGCUGUCAUGAUUUGUGAAUUUCAGAGCCAUUUCUACAUGGCAGUGUGGAAACCUAUCUGAAGGAUUCAAACAUGAAUUCAGCCCCUUCCAGCCUCCCUCGUUUUGAUUUCUUUAAUGUAAGUUCGGAAACAAAAUAUAACAUGUAAUGUAAUGGUACAUUGCCCAUCUUUGAGUUCUCUGCAAACUUUGAUAUGAUCAACCUCAGCAAUUUUCUUCAUUCGCUACUCUUGCAUUGUUCAACUCAGCAGAACGGCAAAUGCUUGCUUCCACUCUUGCUGAUUUGUAAAUAUUGGGAAUAUCCUUCCUCCUAUCUACACUGUUGAUUUUUGAAGGUAUACCCUCAGCUGCUUCCGUUCCAUAUGACUGACUUUAGCAACAUAAUCUCUCUCAGUUGUGAAUCACCUUCCUCUUGUAUAUGGGUAACACCAUCGCUAUAUCUCUAAUCCUUCACACUGUUAGACUGCUUUUCUACUAUCUGGCCUUGGAUUCUUAUGCAUUCUUCUUUGAGGGAAAAUUCAGGGAAUAAUCUUCAGCUCUGGACACAUCAUUUCCUUAGACCACUUUCCCAGACUGUGUACCAGAUUGUUUGCAACCUCAGUCCAUGUUUAGCCCCAGUUUAGUCUGUAAUUAUAUUCCAUUUCCAUCACGAAUACUUCCUACUUCCUACCUCCACCUCUAAUGUUGUAGUUGCUGCAACUGUAACCCUCAUACAUAUCCUGCAUAAAUAUGAAGUGUUGUCCUAUUGUGUCCUUUCCAAAGUUAGUUAACUAUUCCUUAAUUGUGUUUUCUUUUAACAGGUAAUACAACUCAUUGAGGGGAAGGCCUCAGCUUAUGUAUUUGCCAGUCCCGGUUGUAAGAAAUGGGAUACCUGUGCUCCUGAGGCUAUCCUUCAUGCUGUUUCAGGUAAACUGACAGAUAUUCAUGGGAAUCCCUUGCAAUAUCAUAAAGAUGUGAAGCAUAUGAACUCAGCUGGAGUGCUUGCAACUUUAAGGAACUUUGACUACUAUGCAAGCCAUGUUCCUGACUCUGUUAAAAAGGAACUAGUUCCCUAAAAAAAAAUUCUAAUAUGCUGCCUUUGUAACCUCGAAUGACCAAAUGUCUGAAAUGUUCUUUUGAUUUAUUCUAUUUACUUGUUCAAAUAAGUUGCAAUCUUGAGAAUAUUAAUAUGAGGGAGUUCUUUUUACUUUGCAGUACAAGUGCUGAUGUUCAGAGCUACUGUCUGCCUGUUUUGUGGUUGUGCAGAAUUCACUUGAGUUCGUACUUACACACUUUGGGUCAGCUGAAACUAAUCUUGGUUGCAGAAACAUUUAGUGUAUCAAAUGAUUUUUUUUUCUUAUGAAUUGACUGAACUGAUGCAAUUUUUUUAUGGUUCUCUACAACAAUAUUUGUUCUCAGUUUUCAUGGGCUGCCUUCUAUUGCAUUUUGUCCUCAUUGGUGAAGCUAAAUACAGUUUGAUGUUUGUUAUUUCUGCACAAUGGAAAAUUAGUUUCUUGAGUUUGACAAACUCGUUAUUUGCAUAGAUUCUCACUAAUCUUCCAUCUUUUCUGGUGUGGAGAAGUAAGUGAAUGUUUGCAAGAAAAUGUAAUUUCUUUAUAUUUGACAUCAUUGAUUUAAAUAAAUAGCAAUUGAUACUUUA